UCCGAUAAGGUCUAGCGGUUAGGAUUCCUGGCUUUCACCCAGGCGGCCCGGGUUCGACUCCCGGUAUCGGAA
rnacentral:tRNA from 1 species